rnacentral:rRNA from 1 species
UACGUAGGGGGGCGAGCGUUGUCCGGAUUUAUUGGGCGUAAAGAGCUCGUAGGCGGCUCGGUAAGUCGGAUGUGAAACCUCCAGGCUCAACCUGGAGACGCCAUCUGAUACUGCCGUGGCUUGAGUCCGGUAGAGGAGCAGGGAAUUCCUGGUGUAGCGGUGAAAUGCGCAGAUAUCAGGAGGAACACCAGCGGCGAAGGCGCUGCUCUGGGCCGGUACUGACGCUGAGGAGCGAAAGCGUGGGGAGCGAACAGG